UGAGAUGUUGCGUUUUGAUUCUUUAUACUUUAUUUUUUUCUUAAUUUAUCUGUAAGUCUUUUGUUUGCACAAGAAAAAAUGUUUGUAUUUAUGCUUGUGAUUUUUUAUUUCAAAUUACUUGAUUUGGUUUUGAUGCAAAUUGUUGAUUUAUGAUUUUUGAUUCAAGGUUUGUAUUUGUUUUAUGUCCAUUUUUGGAUCUGGAUAAUUUAAGAGAGAAUGAGGAAGAUGUUGAGAGACAAAGGAGGGUGGGGGGGAUAGAUAUUUAGGGGCUAUUUAAGUCAUUUUACCAUAUUGUAACAGGAAACUGCCUAUAGCAGGUCAAUAGGAGUUUUUGGUUAAUGAAAUUAAAAUUAAGGGAAUUUUAUGUUAAGAAUUAAAAUUUAGGUAUAGUGCUGUUACACACUCCCUAAGUUAAUGUACUGUCUGUGAAAUUUACUCCAAGAAAAAGGAUAUUAAUAUUUUUGUGUAAUGGCGAAACAAAGCCAGAGUGCUACAUGUACUGCGUUUUUGGGCUUCCUAAGGGAAAAUAAAAAAAAGAGGAAGUUAUAGAGAAGAUCAAACCAGGGAUGGAGCUUUUUCUGUUUGACUUUUUGAACUGAAGCUUCUGUAAGUUCCAUACAAACCAAUCUCUGUUGGAACGUUGAACUUGGAAACUGCUGCUUUUGGCGUAAAGUUUCCUGCACAGGUUUUAUUCGUACUUCACUUAUAAACCAGUAAGGCUCAGUUGUUUAAGAUCUGAGCCUGAGAAAAAGAAGCCACAGCUGUGUUCCUAUUUGCUUGGCAACUUCCAUGCUUAAUGAAUUAGAGUAGUGCUGCAGAUAAUGUACAGUCAUACAUUUGGGCGGGCUCAUUUUCUUUCUUAAUUUUUUUUUUCCCACAGGCAUUAACCCCAGUUAUGGGCUCAUAAUAGAUGCAAUGCAUUCUAUGACCAUAAAAUUGGUUGGUAAAGAUAGAUUAUAUGCAAAGAAAGAAAGACACCUAUCUAGUACUAUGCCAAUAUGAGACCUUAUAACGGUGUGAAACAUCCUGUUGGGACUUUGUUCCUAAACUUCCUGGGAUCAAUGGGUUGGGAAACUGGCAUGUUGUCUUUUGUGUGGUUAUGAACUUCAGGUAUCCUUGUUCAAGUUCUUAUUGUGAGGAUAAUAGCUAGAAUGGCUUAACAUGUCUUGGAGGUUGUUGUAUUCCUAGUAAUGCUGCCUAAAGGUCAUUGCAAUCAUAUGUUUUGACAAUCUUGUGCCUAAUUUAAUUACCCAUCUAAUUGUUCUUUCAUGCUUGAUGUCUCUCUCUCUCUCUCUAUUUUUUUUUUGUUUUCAUUUGAUUUCAACUAGGUUGGAGCACAUUAUCUUUUUCCAAUCCACUUGAAUGGAUUUCAGUUUUUUAAACCAUUUUCCCUUUAGCCCCUUUGCUCAGGUGAGCCGUUAACAGAAUUUGCAAAGAUUGUUUCCCAUUGCCUGAGGGCCCGUUUAAACAUGCUAUCCAAGAUAACUACCAGUAAGGGAAAUUUUAAAUAAGAACUAAAUGACCGGCAAGUAAGGAGGCUCUUUAUCGUUUCGUCCACUCAGCGCCUGUUCUUCCUAAAUUUUCUUGUGCAUCCAUGCCUGCCAGCUGUAGAAAAUCAGUUUCUGCCCAUAGCAACUCUGCCUUCAAGAGAGGAUCAAUAUGUAGGUGGGAUUCAACUUUGUCAUAAACAGUCUUGAUGCCUUAACAUCCUCUGCAGAAGAUGCAAGGCCCACAGCAUGCUUAAAAUGGAUCCGCAAUAUGUACCCAUCCAUCUGUGAAGCUACAACCUUUGCCAGCUCCUACAUUGCGUCAUUUGGAGGACCCAUAUGUUGCUAGAAUCCAACACAAUCAUUCCCACAAGUUUUGGAGACUCAGUAUAUUCGGCAGAGGGUCUUACCAAUUACCAUCACAACCUGCUUUAUAUGGAGCCAUGGUAAACAUCAAUUGUGUCCAUCAAGCUAUGGAACCACAAACUCUUACCAACUCCAACUGCCCCAUACGAUUCCACAAAUGUGUGAUUUGGAGCAUCAUAACCUGCUUCAUGUGGAACCAUGGUAAACACCGGCUAUGUCCAUCAAGCUAUGGAACCACAAACUCUAUCAGUUCGAACUGCCCCUUGCCAUCCCACAGAUGCUCAACAGGUGGGCUUGCUUGGGAAUGCAAACAAGGAAGCACCGUUGCUGUAACAGAAGCAAGAAAACUAGUUUGAGGGUCAAAUCAGUUUUGAUAUGACGGAUAGUGGAUGUGUAUUUUUGUUUGAUAAAAGUAGUUACAUGGGUUUCAUUUGGCUUGCAUUUUUGAAGUACUUCAUGUUUGGGGGAAGCAAAUUUUAUGUCUGAAUGCUAGUCAAUCAUUAUUUGCGAGCGCGCAUGUGUGGUAUUGGCGGGGAGAUGUUACCUAAUAGUCAACACCUUGGCUCAACAAAUGAUCAUAAUCAGUUAUCGUCAAAGAAGCAAGAAAUUGUUCUGCAUCAGGAAAAUGUUGUUCAGAACUACAGUUACUUGCCUGCAACCGCCUUAGAAUAUAUAUAGUUGAAAGCACCAAAGCUUCAACGUCUGGACUGGCAGUGGGGAGUAUUCCUGGUCGUCCGUAUGCUGAUGUUGGGGUCACUUCAACCCAUCGUCGAAAAAUUUGAGUUAAGAAGAGGCGUUAAAUUUACCGGAAUUGUAGAUAUGAUUUUCCAGUUACAUUUGCACAUCACCUUACGAGAAUCCAAACAUUUGAUUGUUUUAUGAUCCAUUGUAAAUUUCCAUAUUCAUGAGAGUUGGUGCUUGCAUGUGGGAACUCUGGAGUAAUAUGCUAGUCUGUAACUAAUACUGAAUGGAAAUUGAUGGAUUACACGUCA